rnacentral:rRNA from 1 species
UACGUAGGGUGCGAGCGUUAAUCGGAAUUACUGGGCGUAAAGCGUGCGUAGGCGGUUUUGUAAGUCAGAUGUGAAAGCCCCGGACUUAACCUGGGAAUGGCAUUUGGGACUGCAAGGCUUGAGUGCGGCAGAGGAGACUGGAAUUCCUGGUGUAGCAGUGAAAUGCGUAGAUAUCAGGAGGAAUACCGAUGGCGAAGGCAGGUCUCUGGGCUGACACUGACGCUCAUGCACGAAAGCGUGGGGAGCAAACAGG